AUCUCUUUCUGGAGUUCCCUCUUUGGUGAAGCUUUCCCCUGUGCACCUAGAAUCUUCUGAUACAGAGCUGAGCUGGGAGUCCACCAGGUAUUUUGCCAUCCCCAGCCAGACCAAACUUGAAGGAACGGAUAGAGGUCCUGCAGUCCACUGAUCACUGGGGAGGGAAUAUCAGUUUGUGUCCUGCUCAGGAAUUGUAUCUGCACUGAAAUAGAAGAGAAAACCUUAGAAACCUUGUUGGUGUUUGAUGCUACUGAUGUUUGUCACUAAAUGUGGGAUAUGUAGGUAUUCGAGGCCAGGUUGGAUGGGGGCCUUGGGCAACCUGAUCUGGUGCCUGAUUUUGUGGCUGGCAACAUCAGUAGAGUUGGAACUGCAUGAUCUUUAGGGUCCCUUUCAACCCAACCAUUCUAUGAUUCUAUGAUUUUACUUGGUGAGCUGCCAUGUGAAGUGGAUCAUGGUACUGCAGGAAAAUGGAAGAACCAUUGAAACUACUGAUAUCAUUUGUAUAAUAACAGGAUGUCCAGAUAAUAACAGCAGGCUCCUUGAUGAUUGGGUCCAACAUGGGACUAUAGACAGUAGAAGUGUGAAAGCUUUGGCAAAUGCCCACUUCUUUUUGUAGUUGCUCAGGAAUGGGAUAUGGCUUUCCUACUCAAAGCUAAUUCACACCAAAGUCAGGUUACUUGGGAAAAAAUCAGGAGAAAAGAAAAAGAGGAGGCCAUAAAUCAUUGUAAGGCUUGAGGAGAUCAGAUUGAAUUCCUCAGGACCAUGAGUUUGGGGCCAAACACUGGAAUGCAGCAUGUAAUGAACUUGCUUAUCACCCUGGUGCUGUAUCCAAGAGUUAUUAAUGGGCUCUGGAGUGCUGUGACAGUAACAUGAGCUUGAGAAGCAGCCUAAUAAAAAGAGGCUCCCUGCUCCAGGCAGCACAGCUGGGUCACUUGCAGACACUGCAUCCUCAGCACUGCCUCCCAAAGAGACAACGUUGGAUGUCUGCAGUUCCCAGUGUGUUUCUUCCAUCUCCAUGCCUAGAAGGAUGCUAAUGGCUCCCAUGAUAAUUAGGCUCAGAUUAUUAAGGUAUUAGAGAGCAAAAGAAAGCUCCUUGAAAUCCUGCAAAACUCCACCUGGUACACACUGAGGGGCUGAUAACACCACCCUCUGCAAUGCACAGGUAGGGGACAGGAGGAGCCAAACUAUUAAUCUUUCAUAAUCUAGUUGGAAUUAAGUGACAGUGAUGAAGUACUCUGUAAUGGACUUCCUGAAUCCUCACACAAAUGGAGGAAGUGACCACCCUUGAUCAGAUUUCUGUUCAUUUUGCCUGCUUCCCUGAUUGUAUUGCACAUUUUUCCCUUUUGCUAUCAUCUCCAACCUUGGUGUAGCAGGACUAAGGAAUGAAUACUCCACGAGAAUAUGAGAGCAGUGGUUUUGAGGGGACCAUAGAAUGGCUUGUGUUGGAAGAGACCUCAAAGAUCAUCCAGUUUCAAUCCACGUGCAGCAGAAAAUGAUUUACAGAGUAUCCUCCACCAGAAAUCUUCAGUGCAGAAGGGCUUCUGAUCCCUUCUGCAGAAGGGAUCUCCUAGAAACAGCAAAAAGCGUUAGGCUUUCCCUAUCACAUAGAGCGUAGCCCUCCUG
ensembl:lncRNA